rnacentral:rRNA from 1 species
UGCAGUCGAGCGGUAGAGAGAAGCUUGCUUCUCUUGAGAGCGGCGGACGGGUGAGUAAUGCCUAGGAAUCUGCCUGGUAGUGGGGGAUAACGUUCGGAAACGGACGCUAAUACCGCAUACGUCCUACGGGAGAAAGCAGGGGACCUUCGGGCCUUGCGCUAUCAGAUGAGCCUAGGUCGGAUUAGCUAGUUGGUGGGGUAAUGGCUCACCAAGGCGACGAUCCGUAACUGGUCUGAGAGGAUGAUCAGUCACACUGGAACUGAGACACGGUCCAGACUCCUACGGGAGGCAGCAGUGGGGAAUAUUGGACAAUGGGCGAAAGCCUGAUCCAGCCAUGCCGCGUGUGUGAAGAAGGUCUUCGGAUUGUAAAGCACUUUAAGUUGGGAGGAAGGGUUGUAGAUUAAUACUCUGCAAUUUUGACGUUACCGACAGAAUAAGCACCGGCUAACUCUGUGC